rnacentral:lncRNA from 1 species
GGGCUGCACCCAUGGCAUAUGGAAGUUCCCAGGCUGGGGGGUCAAAUCAGAGCUGCAGCUGCCAGCCUACACCAGAGCCACAGCAACUGGGGAUCCGAGCCACAUCUGCAACCAACCCCACAGCUGGCAGCAACGCUGGAGCCUUAACUCACUGAACAAGUCCAGGGAUCGAACCCACAUCCUCAUGAAUGCUGGUCAGGUCUGUUGCCACUAAGCCAUGAUGGGAACUCCCUUCUUUCACUUUCACAGCAAUCUCAGGGGAUAGGUACUAUGCCUGUUGCCAUUUUACAGAUGUGGAAACCGAAGCAUAAGGAGGCAAAUUAACUUGUCCAGGCAGUCUAUCCCCUGGAGCCAAAAUACACAGAAAAAAAUUUCAAGUUGUUUUUUAGUGUGAUAAAAUAUAUGUAACAUAAGAUGUACACGCUUAACUGUUUAUAAGUGUACAAUUCCGUACCCUUAAAGUUGUGCAACCACCACUAUUUCCAAACGUUUUCCUCACCCCAGAAGGAAAUUCUACAGCCGUCAAGCAGUACUUCUCCAUUCCACCCCCCUCAGCUGCUCAUGACCUCGAAUCUACUUUCUGUCUCUAUGAAUUUGCCUGUUUUAGAUGUUUCAGAUGAGUGGAAUCAUACAAAUUUGUCUUUUUUUCCGCAUCUGGCUUAUUUCCCUUUGCAUACAGUUUGCGAGCUUCAUCCCUGUGGCAGCUUGUAUAGUAGGACCUCCUGAUCCAAGCCCCUCGGGGACGCCCGAAACCGUAGCGAGUACUGAGCACCAUAUAUACGUGUUUCCCCUGUACAGGCAUACCUAUGUUCAAUUCACUAAUUAUGCACAGUAAGAGAUCAACAACAAUUAAAUAAAAUAAUUACAACAAUGUACUGUAAUAGGAGUUCCCGUUGUGGUGCAGUGGAAACGAAUCCAAAUAGUAUCCAUGAGGUUGAGGGUUCGAUCCCUGGCCUUGCUCAGUGGGUUAAGGAUUCAGCGUUGCCAGGAGCUGUGGUGUAAGUGGCAGAUGUGGCCUGGAUCCCAUGUUGCUGUGGCCGUGGUGUAGGCUAGCAGCUACAGCUCCAAUUCAACCCCUACGCUGGGAACUUCCAUAUGCUGUGGGUUUGGCCCUAAAAAGCAAAAAAAAAAAAAAACCAACCAACGAAAAAAACUGUCAUGACAAUUGUAUGACUGUGGUCCCUCUCAAAAUAUCUUACUGUAAUGUACUCGCCCUUCUUGUGAUGAUGCGAGAUGAUAAAAUGCCUACAUGAUGAGAUGAAGUGAGGGGAGGGAAGGAGAGGUUGCGAUGUAGCAUUAAGCUCCCAUUGACCGGAGCUCCGGUAGUGGCUCAGCAGUUAGCAAACCCGAUUAGCAUCCCUGAAGAUGCGGGAUCCUGACCUCGCUCAGUGGGUUAAGGAUACGGUGCUGCUGGGAGCUGUGGUGUAGGUCACAGACACGGCUUGGAUCCCACAUUGCUGUGGCUGUGGCGUAGGCCGGCAGCUGUAGCUCCAAAUCGACCCGUAGCCUGGGAAGCUCCAUGUGCUGUGGGUGACCUUAUGUCAGGAGAAUCAUCUCCUUAGGGUGAUCCUGGAAGAUGGAGCCGCGCUGUUGGUGGGCGAAUGUCAGAGGCAGACGAUGCCGAUGCUUGGGGAACUUGGGCAGAACAGCUCGGGAUUCCAUCACGCCACCCAGAAUGGCCAAAACGUAAGGCCUGUGAAUUGCCGACUUGAUACUUGGGAUCACACUUGACCGUGGGUAACUGAAACCUUGGAAGGUGAAAGCAGGGAUAAGGGCAGACGGCUUUAUCAGAACUUCCUUCAUUUUCACGGCCGAAUGACAUUGCAUUGUAUGGAUGGACUCUGUUUGUCGAGCCGGACAUCUCAGCUGUCUCCAUCUUUUGUCUCCUGUGAGUAACGCUGCUGUGGACAGUGGCACACAGUACCUCCGACCACAUUCGGGUAUAUAUCUAGGAGCAGAACUGCUUGGUCAUGCGGUAGUUCUGUUUAACUUUUUGAGGACCCACCAGACUGUUUUUUACAGCAGCUGCCUCAUUUUUCAUCCCACUGGCAAAAUGCACGGGGUCCAAUUUCUUCAUACCCUCACCAUCACUUGUUCUUGGCCUUUCAAAACCAUCAUAGCCAUCCUAGUGUGUGUGAAGUGUAUCUCCUGUGGGUUUUGCAUUUCCCUGUUGACUUAAGGACAUGGAGAAUCUUCCCAUCUUGUUCGUGGAGUUCCCAUCAUGGCGCAGCAGAAACGAAUCUGUCUAGGAACCAGGAGGUUGCAGGUUCGAUCCCUGGCCUCACUCAGUGGGUUAAGGAUCCGGCAUUGCAGUGAGCUCUGGUGUAGGUCGAAGACACAGCUCGAAUCUGGCUUUGCUGUGGCUGUGGCUUAGGUUGGCGGCUGUAGCUCUGAUUUGAUCCUCAGCCUGGGAACCUCCAUAUGCUGCAGGUGCAGCUCUAAAAAGAAAAAAAAAAAAGUGUUUUCUUCUAAGAGUGUUAUGCUUUUAGCUCUUAUAUUUAGGUUGUUAAUCCAUUUUGAGCUAACACUUGUGUGUGGUGUGAGGUAGGGCUCCAACUCUAUCCUAUGAAACAGGCAAAUUCAUAGAGACGGAUAAGUGGUUGGCAGAUAAGUAGGCCUGGGAUGGGGAGGGGGGAUUGGGCAUGAUUGCUUAUGGGGACGAAGUUUCUUUUUGGGGUGAUGACAAUAUUCUAAAUUUGGAUAGUGGUGACGGUUGCAUAAUUCAGUGAAUACAUUAACAACCACUGAAUUGUACACUUUAAAAGGGUGAAUUUUAUGCUAUGUGAAUUAUACCUCAAUAAAGCUGUUAUUAAAACAAACAAAAAGAACAGCUGGUGGCCCGUAGGAGGGGGACAGGCCUGGCAGCCCCGCCUCCUGCUUCUAGAAGAGCAAACAUGCUGCCCUCCUGUGGCCUCUGGUGGCCGCCAGCCAGACUUCUGCCCUGCCAGGGCUGUUUUAAAUCAAAUACCCAGGAGUCUCUCUCAAGAGUCACAUUUGAGGUAAUAAAGGGUCCACUCUCAUCGGCUUUUCUCCACUUUGGUCCCAACCCCAAAUGCAGCUGUUGUGGGCUUCUCAUCCCUUUUAUCAGCCACGAGAUGGAAAGAGGCCACAGACGGCAGAUCCGGUGCACAUCUCUCUCCCUGGAGUAGACGAAGCACAGAAGGAAAAGCAGGACGCUGAUGGUCCCAGUGGACCCCAGGGUGAGGCCAAGACCCAGCCCUGCCCCAAGUCCCCCCUGUGGAGGGAAAGGCUGGGCCUCCGCCUUGUCCCCUGCCAUGACCUCAGGGACAGUUGUGUGAGGGUCCUCCUGCCACCGGGCCAGCCUGGGGCUGGGUGUGGGCUCUUUGCUGACCAGCCCAGCUUGGGUUCCAACUGGGAUUUGAGCAUUUAAGCCCAGAUUGCACUAGCCAGUUGCACGAGGCCUUUUUGUGGAAGCUUUUGUGGUGGCGGGGAUGGGAAAUUCUCGGACAUGAAGGGCCACCAUCCUGCAGUGGAAGGGAUGGGGCGUCAGCAUCCUCCCACAGCACAGCUGGCAGCGGCCCUGGAGAGGCUUCUCUGGCACAGCCUUCCUGGGCAGAGGCUGCUGACAACCAGGGCCGAAGAGAGCGGUGGGCACCGGGUGGGGACUGUGGCUGGCAGACUGUGCAGGUCCCGGGGGGACACCGUCAGCCGCUUCAGUACAACUGAAGCUCCAGGCUGGGAGCAGAGCGCCGAAGCCAGUCUGGUUGGUGCCAGUGCUGUUUGGAGCCCAGGGGGCCUCCGUCUGGGCAGCUCCGGCUGCCGCCACCAGGCCUCUGGGGCCCCAAGCCGUCUCUGCCUUCCUGCUUCCCACCAGGGCAGAGACCUGGGUGCGAAGCAGGCUCCAGGAGGUGGUCGUACAACCUCCCUGUGAGGUCUGCCUGGCCAGGAAGGAGAAGGGCUGGAGGGUGAGCUCCCAGGAAGGCUCGGCCCCCCUGUCCUGGCCCCAGAGGCCGAGGGGCCUGGCUGGCCCCGUCCCCCUGUCUCAGGCACCUGCAGCCCUUCACCGGGAUUCACAACCACCUGGCUGCCAUAGACCGGCCUUGACAUUUUAAUUACAGUCAUUAAGAUGCCUCCUUUUGCUGUGGCCACGUCAGCAGUUCCAGGCCCUUCUGUGUGGAGCAUCUCAGCCUCGUCCCUUCUACCUGGCGGCUAACCCCUCCCCUGCCCUCCAGGGCGCUCCGUCCCACCUCCCCAGCUGGAUGGGCUGGGUUGCAGGCAGCACCUCGUGCUCCCUCCCUGCUCCCCCGACCCUGACCGUCUCAAGGAGGGUCAGACCCUGCGCGGAGACCACGGCGCCAGGUUGGGGCGGGAGCGCUUUCCCGUGGAAGGUUCCCUCACUGGUGUCCAGGCCACCUGUCUGCCUUGUCUCUCUGGUCUUGGGACCUCUGCUUGGGACACAUGGCCCCCAAAGGGGCUCACUGCGGUGUCCCCCUGUCCCCAGCCCCUCCCCAGUGGGAGGACCCAGGUCCCAUGGGCUCCCCCUGAGCAGACUCGCAGUGAAGUGGGGACAUCUACCACGGGUCCACUGCCCCGCGACAGCUGGGGUGGGACAUGCACCCUGUCUGUCCCCUCGCAAGGCUAUGAGCAAAGCGCCUGUCUCCUUGUGCCUCCUCCAAGACCUGAGCCUGGGUUUGAGAGUCUAAUUCCCAGUAAAAGCUGUUCUGCCAAACUUAGCACAAAAUGGCAAUUCUGGGCUUGAACUCUACCUAGCAACAAGAUUAGCAGCUGAUUUUGCAAGCUGGUAUUUUUAUCCCUGGGACUGGAAGCGCUGAGAAAAGUGGCCACCUCCUGCAGCACCUGGGGACCCUCCCCCCCAGGCGCUCCUCCUGGCCCCAUGCCCAGCUCUGGCAAGUGAGAAGGGGGGCCAUGAGAGCCUCCAGAGAGGAGUGUCGGCCCGGGUCCAUGAGGAAGCACCGGCUGGAUGCCGAGGCCUGGCCUCCUCUCCCUCUCUCCGCCUCC